CAUGCAAGUCGAACGGUAACAGGUCUUCGGAUGCUGACGAGUGGCGAACGGGUGAGUAAUACAUCGGAACGUGCCUAGUAGUGGGGGAUAACUACUCGAAAGAGUAGCUAAUACCGCAUGAGAUCUACGGAUGAAAGCAGGGGACCUUCGGGCCUUGUGCUACUAGAGCGGCUGAUGGCAGAUUAGGUAGUUGGUGGGGUAAAAGCUUACCAAGCCUGCGAUCUGUAGCUGGUCUGAGAGGACGACCAGCCACACUGGGACUGAGACACGGCCCAGACUCCUACGGGAGGCAGCAGUGGGGAAUUUUGGACAAUGGGCGAAAGCCUGAUCCAGCAAUGCCGCGUGCAGGAUGAAGGCCCUCGGGUUGUAAACUGCUUUUGUACGGAACGAAAAGCCUGGGGCUAAUAUCCCCGGGUCAUGACGGUACCGUAAGAAUAAGCACCGGCUAACUACGUGCCAGCAGCCGCGGUAAUACGUAGGGUGCAAGCGUUAAUCGGAAUUACUGGGCGUAAAGCGUGCGCAGGCGGUUUUGUAAGACAGUGGUGAAAUCCCCGGGCUCAACCUGGGAACUGCCAUUGUGACUGCAAAGCUAGAGUGCGGCAGAGGGGGAUGGAAUUCCGCGUGUAGCAGUGAAAUGCGUAGAUAUGCGGAGGAACACCGAUGGCGAAGGCAAUCCCCUGGGCCUGCACUGACGCUCAUGCACGAAAGCG
rnacentral:rRNA from 7 species